UACGGGGGAGCAAGCGUUGUUCGGAUUUACUGGGCGUAAAGAGCGCGCAGGCGGUCGUUCAAGUCGCGUGUGGAAAGCCCCCGGCUCAACUGGGGAGGGUCACGCGAUACUGAUCGACUCGAAGGCAGGAGAGGGUAGUGGAAUUCCCGGUGUAGUGGUGAAAUGCGUAGAUAUCUGGAGGAACACCAGCGGCGAAGGCGGCGAUCUGGGCCUGUACUGACACUGAGGAGCGAAAGCCAGGGAGCGAACGGG
rnacentral:rRNA from 1 species